rnacentral:rRNA from 1 species
UACGGGGGGGGCAAGCGUUGUUCGGAAUUACUGGGCGUAAAGGGCGCGUAGGCGGCCUUCUAAGUCGGACGUGAAAUCCCUCGGCUUAACCGAGGAACUGCGUCCGAUACUGAAAGGCUUGAAUCCGGGAGAGGGAUGUGGAAUUCCAGGUGUAGCGGUGAAAUGCGUAGAUAUCGGGAGGAACACCGGUGGCGAAGGCGGUUCUCUGGGCCUUACCUGACGCUGAGGAGCGAAAGCGUGGGGAGCGAACAGG